UUCUGGCUCAGGAUUAACGCUGGCGGCGUGCCUAAUACAUGCAAGUCGAAUGGUAGCAAUACCAUGGCGAACGGGUGAGUAACACGUAGGUAACCUGUCUUUAAGCCGAGGAUAACCAUUGGAAACGAUGGAUAAUACUGGAUAGGACAUUUGAAGGCAUCUUUUAAUGUUUAAAGAUUUAUCACUUAGAGAGGGGCCUGCGGCGCAUUAGCUAGUUGGUGAGGUGAAGGCUUACCAAGGCGAUGAUGCGUAGCCGGACUGAGAGGUUGAACGGCCACAAUGGAACUGAGAACGGUCCAUACUCCUACGGGAGGCAGCAGUAGGGAAUUUUCGGCAAUGGGCGGAAGCCCUGACCGAGCAACGCCGCGUGAACGAAGAAGUAUUUCGGUAUGUAAAGUUCUUUUAUUAGGGACGAAAAGACAGAUUGACGGUACCUAAUGAAUAAGCUCCGGCUAACUACGUGCCAGCCGCGGC
rnacentral:rRNA from 1 species